rnacentral:ncRNA from 1 species
UUCAAGCGAAUGAUUAGAGGCCUUAGGGUCGAAACGAUCUUAACCUAUUCUCAAACUUUAAAUGGGUAAGAACCUUAACUUUCUUGAUAUGAAGUUCAAGGUUAUGAUAUAAUGUGCCCAGUGGGCCACUUUUGGUAAGCAGAACUGGCGCUGUGGGAUGAACCAAACGUAAUGUUACGGUGCCCAAAUUAACAACUCAUGCAGAUACCAUGAAAGGCGUUGGUUGCUUAAAACAGCAGGACGGUGAUCAUGGAAGUCGAAAUCCGCUAAGGAGUGUGUAACAACUCACCUGCCGAAGCAACUAGCCCUUAAAAUGGAUGGCGCUUAAGUUGUAUACCUAUACAUUACCGCUAAAGUAGAUGAUUUAUAUUACUUGUGAUAUAAAUUUUGAAACUUUAGUGAGUAGGAAGGUACAAUGGUAUGCGUAGAAGUGUUUGGCGUAAGCCUGCAUGGAGCUGCCAUUGGUACAGAUCUUGGUGGUAGUAGCAAAUAAUCGAAUGAGACCUUGGAGGACUGAAGUGGAGAAGGGUUUCGUGUGAACAGUGGUUGAUCACGAGUUAGUCGGUCCUAAGUUCAAGGCGAAAGCCGAAAAUUUUCAAGUAAAACAAAAAUGCCUAACUAUAUAAACAAAGCGAAUAUAAUACACUUGAAUAAUUUUGAACGAAAGGAAAUACGGUUCCAAUUCCGUAACCUGUUGAGUAUCCGUUUGUUAUUAAAUAUGGGCCUCGUGCUCAUCCUGGCAACAGGAACGACCAUAAAGAAGCCGUCGAGAGAUAUCGGAAGAGUUUUCUUUUCUGUUUUAUAGCCGUACUACCAUGGAAGUCUUUCGCAGAGAGAUAUGGUAGAUGGGCUAGAAGAGCAUGACAUAUACUGUUGUGUCGAUAUUUUCUCCUCGGACCUUGAAAAUUUAUGGUGGGGUCACGCACACUUCUCAACAGGCCGUACCAAUAUCCGCAGCUGGUCUCCAAGGUGAAGAGUCUCUAGUCGAUAGAAUAAUGUAGGUAAGGGAAGUCGGCAAUUAGAUCCGUACCUUCGGGGAUAGGAUUGGCUCUGAAGAUUGAGAUAGUCGGCUUGGAUGGGAACAAUAACAUGGCUUUAUGUGCUCGUUCUGGGUAAAUAGAGUUCUAGCAUUUAUGUA